rnacentral:rRNA from 1 species
UACGUAGGCAGCGAGCGUUGUUCGGAGUUACUGGGCGUAAAGGGUGUGUAGGCGGUUGUUUAAGUUUGGUGUGAAAUCUCCCGGCUCAACUGGGAGGGUGCGCCGAAUACUGAAUGACUUCGAGUGCGGGAGAGGAAAGUGGAAUUCCUGGUGUAGCGGUGAAAUGCGUAGAUAUCAGGAGGAACACCGGUGGUGUAGACGGCUUUCUGGACCGUAACUGACGCUGAGGAGCGAAAGCCAGGGGAGCGAACGGG